rnacentral:rRNA from 1 species
AUUGAACGCUGGCGGCGGGCCUAACACAUGCAAGUCGAACGGUAACAGGAAGAAGCUUGCUUCUUUGCUGACGAGUGGCGGGCGGGUGAGUAAUGUCUGGGAAACUGCCUGAUGGAGGGGGAUAACUACUGGAAACGGUAGCUAAUACCGCAUAACGUCGCAAGACCAAAGGGGGGGACCUUCGGGCCUCUUGCCAUCGGAUGUGCCCAGAUGGGAUUAGCUAGUAGGUGGGGUAACGGCUCACCUAGGCGACGAUCCCUAGCUGGUCUGAGAGGAUGACCAGCCACACUGGAACUGAGACACGGUCCAGACUCCUACGGGAGGCAGCAGUGGGGAAUAUUGCACAAUGGGCGCAAGCCUGAUGCAGCCAUGCCGCGUGUAUGAAGAAGGCCUUCGGGUUGUAAAGUACUUUCAGCGGGGAGGAAGGGAGUAAAGUUAAUACCUUUGCUCAUUGACGUUACCCGCAGAAGAAGCACCGGCUAACUCCGUG